AUUCUUCCCACUUAAGUAGGACAGCACAAUCAGCUCCUGAAAUUUGCAGAGCUUAGCUCAGAUGGAUUAGUGGUUUUGAUAUAUUUUCUUGGGAAUGAAAAAAAUACUAUUUUGGAAGAAGCUCCUGAUAUUAAUUCUUCUAUCAAUGUCCCAAACAUUUUGAAGAUGAACCUCUCAGUUAUCAAGUCAUCACUUACAUGACUGUUGGAAAUAGGUACUCCUCCGUGGUUUUAUUUAGGUGAUGACCUCCAUGGCAUUAUAAACAUUAUAAAACUAAGCAAAUACAAGCCUGAGCCCUUUGUUCCUAAGUUUUUAGAAUUUGCAUAUUUCAUUACAUGUGAACAAUUUUCCUGAAUCUUAAC